rnacentral:rRNA from 1 species
CUACGGGAUGCAGCAGUGAGGAAUAUUGCACAAUGGGGGGAACCCUGAUGCAGCAACGCCGCGUGGAGGAUGACGCAUUUCGGUGUGUAAACUCCUUUUAUAUGUCAAGAAAAUGACGGUAGCAUAUGAAUAAGCACCGGCUAACUCCGUGCCAGCAGCCGCGGGUAAUACGGAGGGUGCAAGCGUUACUCGGAAUCACUGGGCGUAAAGGACGCGUAGGCGGGUUGGAAAGUCAGGUGUGAAAUCCUACAGCUUAACUGUAGAACUGCACUUGAAACUUCUAAUCUAGAGUAUGGGAGGGGAAGAUGGAAUUAGUGGUGUAGGGGUAAAAUCCGUAGAUAUCACUAGGAAUACCUAAAGCGAAGGCGAUCUCCUGGAACAUUACUGACGCUAAGGCGUGAAAGCGUGGGGAGCAAACAGGAUUAGAUACCCGUGUAGUC